rnacentral:rRNA from 1 species
UGCCCCAGUAACGGCGAGUGAAGCGGCAAUAGCUCAAAUUUGAAAUCUGGCUCUUUCAGGGUCCGAGUUGUAAUUUGCAGAGGGUGCUUUGGCGUCGGCCGUGGUCUAAGUUCCUUGGAACAGGACGUCACAGAGGGUGAGAAUCCCGUACGUGGCCGCCGGUCUUCGCCGUGUAAAGCCCCUUCGACGAGUCGAGUUGUUUGGGAAUGCAGCUCUAAAUGGGAGAUAAAUUUCUUCUAAAGCUAAAUAUUGGCCAGAGACCGAUAGCGCACAAGUAGAGUGAUCGAAAGAUGAAAAGCACUUUGGAAAGAGAGUCAAAAAGCACGUGAAAUUGUUGAAAGGGAAGCGCUUGCAGCCAGACGUGCCCGCAGUUGCUCACCCGGGCUCUCGCCCGGGGCACUCUUCUGCGGGCAGGCCAGCAUCAGUUCGGGCGGUUGGAUAAAGGCCUCUGUCACGUACCACCCCCUCGGGGGCGGCCUUAUAGGGGAGGCGCAACACGACCAGCCCGAACUGAGGACCGCGCAUUAUGCUAGGAUGCUGGCGUAAUGGCUGUAAGCGGCCCGUCUUGAAACACGGACCAAGGAGUCUAACAUCUAUGCGAGUGUUUGGGUGUCAAGCCCGGACGCGCAAUGAAAGUGAACGGAGGUGGGAACCCUUACGGGCGCACCAUCGACCGAUCCUGAAGUCUUCGGAUGGAUUUGAGUAAGAGCAUAGCUGUUGGGACCCGAAAGAUGGUGAACUAUGCCUGAAUAGGGUGAAGCCAGGGGAAACACUGGUGGAGGCUCGCAGCGGUUCUGACGUGCAAAUCGAUCGUCAAAUUUGGUCAUAGGGGCCGAACACGA